ensembl:lncRNA
GGACACCCGGGCCAGAAACAAGCUGUGGGAAUAGGAUUGCCUGUCUGGGAUAUCCCUCCACCCACCCGAACCCCCUCAGCAGUCGGAGGAGAUCAGCUGUAACACCUUCGAGGCAACCCUUGAUCCCAGGGAGCAGGAGCUCUGGGAUGCCUCCUCUGAGACGCUGGGAGAGAGACGCAGUCAAUAAUGGAGUGGGGCCUGCGCUGGCGGCUCAGUGGUAAAGAAUCUGCCUGCCGAUGCAGGGGGCGUGUGUUCGAUCCCUGGUCUGGGAAGAUCCCACAUGUCUCGGAGCAACUAAGCCCUGCACCACAACUACUGAGCCCGAGCUCUAGAGCCACGAGCUGCAACUAGCCCGUGCUCCGCAACAAGAGAAACCACUGCAAUAAGAAGGCGGUGCACCGCAGCAGAGUAGCCCCUGCUCAUCGCAACUACAGAAAGCCCACGCAAAGCAAGGAAGACCCAGCAAAGCCAAAAAUGAAAUAAAUCAGUUCAGUUCAGUCGCUCA